rnacentral:rRNA from 1 species
GGUUGUGUCUAUGGCGACAGGGAAACACCCGUUCCCAUUCCGAACACGGUAGUUAAGCCUGCCAGCGGCGAUGAUACUGCAGUUUUAACUGUGGGAAAGUAGCACGACGCAACCU